GACAGAGGGUGCAAACGUUGUUCGGAGUUACUGGGGCGGUAAAGCGUGUGUAGGCUGCUCCGAUAGUCGGAUGUGAAAGCCCUGGGGCUCAACCUGGGAAUUGCAUUCGGAUACUGGAUAGCUAGAGUUCGGCAGAGGGAAGUGGAAUUCUGGUGUAGCGGUGAAUGCGUAGAUAUCAGGAGGACACCGGUGGCGAAGGCGGAUCUCUGGGCCAUUACUGACGCUGAGGAGCGAA
rnacentral:rRNA from 1 species